UCGAACUGAGUGAUACUGCAUGCCGGUUUCGACAGGGGCCGAUGAGCGUGCUGCUAGUUGUUAGCUGCUACUGCUAGCUGCAAAGUCAAAGAGGACGUCCACGAGAAGCGAGGAUGACUGCGGGACAGCUGGAUCAUCGUGCUCCGACCGUGGCUGUUUCUGUGGCCUUCAUCCACAGUUGGCAGCUCGUCCUCCUCAUCCUGGCGUCCAUGCUCUUCCUCUCCGGGGCCUGUUUGAUUCAAAUGAGGGCAGCGGCGGGACAUUCCUCAUGGACCAUGUGAUGUUGCAGCAGUGAGGCAAGCUGAGGCCUUCCUGUUGCUGGAGGCCCUUUUCCUCCUCGGCCUGAAGAACCUGUAAAAACCAGCAGCUGAACACGGAGAUUUAAAAAAAAAAAACUCAACAUCUCUAAUAUUUCAAUUUUAAAGCAGAAAAUAAAUGUCUAAGAAGAUAAGAUAAUAA